AGAGAGAAUACCUUUAGGGUGUUUUACUUUCGCCAAUCAUCACACGCGUCCUUAGCGUUUUUACCCCAGCGUUAAAAAUGCAAAAUAGGAAGCCUCCUGUCAUGUAAUAAAAUUGUAGAUUAUGCUAGCGUAGUGUACAGAUAAUCUUAAUUUUAAUAAUGACAGGAGGCGAGUAUUUUCCCCCCCUUUUUUCUUGGUCAUUCCCUCCCUAUACUCUGAGGUUUCACACACUAUUUCAGUUAGCUAUGGGUAAAAACUGGGAUAAAGGACGCUUAAACCAGAUGUCAUUUACUAUUUAGUUCAGUUAUCAGAUCAGACUAUAC